rnacentral:rRNA from 1 species
GCUUCGGCAAGGCCCUUGCUUAACUCACAUCCCAACACCUGUGAACUGUAAGGCGCAUGACUAGGUUCGCCCAAGUCAUCGUCUGCCCUUUUUAACAAACAAUUAAUGUAACAAACGUAGUCUUAUUAUAACCUAAUAAAACUUUCAACAACGGAUCUCUUGGCUCUCGCAUCGAUGAAGAACGCAGCGAAAUGCGAUAAGUAAUGUGAAUUGCAGAAUUCAGUGAAUCAUCGAGUCUUUGAACGCACCUUGCGCUCUUUGGUAUUCCGAAGAGCAUGCCUGUUUGAGUGUCAUGAAAAUAUCAACCUUGACUUGGGUUUUGUGCUCUAGUCUCGGCUUGGAAUUGGGUGCUUGCCGCUUUUACGAGCGGCUCACCUUAAAUGUAUUAGCUGGAUCUGUCUUUGAGACUUGGUUUGACUUGGCGUAAUAAGUAUUUCGCUAAGGACAUUCUUCGGAGUGGCCUCGUUUCUAGGACGCUUGUCCGCUUUCCAAUACAAGUUCCACCUCGUGGACAUGACUUUUUAUUAUCUGGCCUCAAAUCAGGUAGGACUACCCGCUGAACUUAAGCAUAUCAAUAAGCGGAGGAAAAGAAACUAACAAGGAUUCCCCUAGUAACGGCGAGUGAAGCGGGAAAAGCUCAAAUUUGAAAUCUGGCAGCCUGAGGUUGUCCGAGUUGUAAUCUAUAGAAACGUUUUCCGCGCUGGCCCAUGUACAAGUCCCUUGGAAUAGGGCGUCAUAGAGGGUGAGAAU